rnacentral:rRNA from 1 species
AGCGAACGCUGGCGGCAGGCCUAACACAUGCAAGUCGAACGAACCUUUCGGGGUUAGUGGCGGACGGGUGAGUAACACGUGGGAACGUGCCUUUAGGUUCGGAAUAACUCAGGGAAACUUGUGCUAAUACCGAAUGUGCCCUUCGGGGGAAAGAUUUAUCGCCUUUAGAGCGGCCCGCGUCUGAUUAGCUAGUUGGUUGAGGUAAUGGCUCACCAAGGCGACGAUCAGUAGCUGGUCUGAGAGGAUGAUCAGCCACAUUGGGACUGAGACACGGCCCAAACUCCUACGGGAGGCAGCAGUGGGGAAUCUUGCGCAAUGGGCGAAAGCCUGACGCAGCCAUGCAGCGUGAAUGAUGAAGGUCUUAGGAUUGUAAAAUUCUUUCACCGGGGACGAUAAUGACGGUACCCGGAGAAGAAGCCCCGGCUAACUUCGUG